rnacentral:rRNA from 1 species
AGUGAACGCUGGCGGUAGGCCUAACACAUGCAAGUCGAACGGCAGCACAGUAAGAGCUUGCUCUUACGGGUGGCGAGUGGCGGACGGGUGAGGAAUACAUCGGAAUCUACUUUUUCGUGGGGGAUAACGUAGGGAAACUUACGCUAAUACCGCAUACGACCUACGGGUGAAAGCAGGGGAUCUUCGGACCUUGCGCGAUUGAAUGAGCCGAUGUCGGAUUAGCUAGUUGGCGGGGUAAAGGCCCACCAAGGCGACGAUCCGUAGCUGGUCUGAGAGGAUGAUCAGCCGCACUGGAACUGAGACACGGUCCAGACUCCUACGGGAGGCAGCAGUAGGGAAUAUUGGACAAUGGGCGCAAGCCUGAUCCAGCCAUACCGCGUGGGUGAAGAAGGCCUUCGGGUUGUAAAGCCCUUUUGUUGGGAAAGAAAAGCAGCAGGUUAAUACCCCGCUGUUCUGACGGUACCCAAAGAAUAAGCACCGGCUAACUUCGUG